rnacentral:lncRNA from 1 species
AAUGAGCUCCUGCUCAGCUAUCUCUACUUGCUGAACCUCAGAUUCCACGGUGGCUUGCUCGUCUACUCGCAUCAACACAAUACAUACAUAGCAUAGCAUAAAUUAACAUCACAUCAAACAUACAAAUAUAAUAUACAGUAAUAAACUAGACAUUAAAAUAUGAUCAUAGGAACUGGAAUCAUUAAAUUUGGAGUUAUAUAUUUUAAGUUAUGGAUUUUCUAAUGUUUUAUGUGCUUAAUACAAGAUUAAGUGCUAGAUAAAUUUUAAAUCAUCUCUCAUGUUAAAACAGAGGCACUAAUGGUUAGACAAUAAUUUUAUAAAAAUUUAGGAACUGGAAUGGACCAAUUUGGAGUUUAUAUGCAUUUUCUAUGAAUUAUACAAAUCCUAUGAAUUGUUUUUAUAUUUAAAACUCAUUUUCUAAUUCAUUUUCUUGAUUUUAUAAUUCUCUGGACGGGGCCUCAAAUACUGAAAACAGCAGGGGCUACGGUGUAAAAUAUCCUAGACACAGCGCGCUGUACAGGGUGGACGGCGGGUUGUUUUCAAGUAAACCGAGGGGCUUAUGUGUCAAAUGGGUGAUCAAAGGGUUAUCGGAGAGAUCUAACCGUCCGGUCGACAUUGAUCGGCCCAGAUUAGAUCUCAGGUGAAGUGAACCGGUAUGCAGCGUGAGACGUCGAAUCGGCGAUCGACGGACAAGGAUCCCUCUACCCUAACUCGGUUGUGAGCCGUCCGAUUAAAAUCCACGGUCACAAUUGGUCUGAUUGAAUCGGUACGCACAGUUCAAAUCCCCAUCGCCCAUUCGCAGAUCGACGGCCACCACACUGUCUACACGCAGGCGACACAGAUGCUAAUCCUAUUCGUCCAUCAGGACAUCGACGGCCCUAGGAUGUCUUCUACCGCUGCUCGAGACGGACGCCGGUGCCCAGCCCCAACCGCGGCGGCGAACCUCACCGGUGAUAGCAGACCCGACUCGCCAGAGCACAAAUUUCCUAAUCGAAGGGCGCUAUAUGAUGCGGAUACAACAACGAAUUGAUAGGUAGGGGUUUUACCGGUGCUUUUGGCCUAGGGACACCCGACCACGUGGUAUGGCGGCGCCGUGAUUUCCUACGGCGGAGGCGCUAGGACCGCGAUGCCCGGGUCCGUGACUCGACGGCGCCCGCGCAGUCUUCACGCCCGGCGAGGAAUUACGGGUUCUCCAGACGCAAUUUCCCCCAAGGCACAGAUACGCGAACAAUCCCAAGGGCUUGAUGAAGCUAUGCGAUGAGCCUUCUUGCUCCCAGCGUCUGCGGAGGUCAAGAUCCACGGCGGAGCUCCCGUGGCGGAUUCCCCCUCUGCUGGCUUCCCAUUUAUCCUCCCAGUUCCGGGUCAGAGGAGGGGAACAGAGCUGAGC